AAAACAUGUCCUCUAGGUCUGGUCUGCCCACUGAUUUUAAUGGCCGCAGUAUUUUAACUGUGCAAAGGUAGCAUAAUCAUUAGUCUUUUAAUUGAAGGCUUGUAUGAACGGCUGGACGAGAUACUAACUGUAUCAAUUAAGUUGUUUUAGAAUUUUAUUUUUUAGUUAAAAAGCUAAAAUUUAUUUAAAAGACGAGAAGACCCUAUAGAUCUUUAUAUUAUUUUGUUGGGGUGACAUUGAGAUUUAAUUAACUUUUAAUAUAUUUUUACAUUAAUUUAUGGUUAUUUGAUCCAAUAUUAUUGAUUAGUAAAUUAAGUUACCUUAGGGAUAACAGCGUAAUUCUUUUAGAGAGUUCAUAUCGAUAGAAGAGAUUGCGACCUCGAUGUUGGAUUAAGGUAUGGUAUUGGGUGUAGCAAUUCAGUAGUUAAGUCUGUUCGACUUUUGAUUUCUUACAUGA
rnacentral:rRNA from 1 species